rnacentral:lncRNA from 1 species
GCCGUUAUCUACAACCCCUCAGACAUGGCCUCAUGGGUCGACUCCCUCCUCUCCGCCUCCGACUUCAACGCUCCCGAUCUCGACUUCGCUGACGCCAUCAUGACCGAUCCGACGGCGGCUUUCCCCGCCGACACGUGGAGUGAUAUUCCUCCGCCAAUCUCCACCGCUGCACCGCCGCCGAUGCAGAACCACCAGCAGAUAACGUCGUUCACGGCGAUGGAGGAAGAUUCCGGGAUAAGGCUGGUGCAGCUGCUCGUCACGUGCGCCGAGUCCGUCCAACGCGGGGAUCUAGCAUUGGCCGGCUCGAUAAUAGAGACCAUG